UACGGAGGGUGCAAGCGUUGCUCGGAAUUAUUGGGCGUAAAGCGCACGCAGGCGGCGAGGUAAGUCAGUUGUGAAACUCCCGGGCUUAACUUGGGAACUGCAGCUGAUACUGCCUUGCUUGAGUACGGAAGAGGGGAGCGGAAUUCCCAGUGUAGAGGUGAAAUUCGUAGAUAUUGGGAGGAACACCGGUGGCGAAGGCGGCCAUCUGGACGGAUACUGACGCUGAGACGCGAAAGCGUGGGUAGCAAACAGG
rnacentral:rRNA from 1 species